rnacentral:rRNA from 12 species
CGGUGGUCCCACCUGACCCCAUGCCGAACUCAGAAGUGAAACGCCGUAGCGCCGAUGGUAGUGUGGGGUCUCCCCAUGCGAGAGUAGGGAACUGCCAGGCA